GAGUUUGAUCUUGGCUCAGGAUGAACGCUGGCGGCGUGCCUAAUACAUGCAAGUCGAGCGAACUGAUUAGAAGCUUGCUUCUAUGACGUUAGCGGCGGACGGGUGAGUAACACGUGGGCAACCUGCCUGUAAGACUGGGAUAACUUCGGGAAACCGAAGCUAAUACCGGAUAGGAUCUUCUCCUUCAUGGGAGAUGAUUGAAAGAUGGUUUCGGCUAUCACUUACAGAUGGGCCCGCGGUGCAUUAGCUAGUUGGUGAGGUAACGGCUCACCAAGGCAACGAUGCAUAGCCGACCUGAGAGGGUGAUCGGCCACACUGGGACUGAGACACGGCCCAGACUCCUACGGGAGGCAGCAGUAGGGAAUCUUCCGCAAUGGACGAAAGUCUGACGGAGCAACGCCGCGUGAGUGAUGAAGGCUUUCGGGUCGUAAAACUCUGUUGUUAGGGAAGAACAAGUACAAGAGUAACUGCUUGUACCUUGACGGUACCUAACCAGAAA
rnacentral:rRNA from 1 species